UUUAGAGUUUGGAUCCUGGCUCAGGACGAACGCUGGCGGCGUGCCUAAUACAUGCAAGUCGAGCGGAGAUUUGAAAAGCUUGCUUUUCAAAUCUUAGCGGCGGACGGGUGAGUAACACGUGGGCAACCUGCCCUUGAGACGGGGAUAACUCCGGGAAACCGGAGCUAAUACCGGAUAACACAUAUCUUCGCAUGAGGAUAUGUUAGAAGGUGGCUUUUAGCUACCACUCAAGGAUGGGCCCGCGGCGCAUUAGCUAGUUGGUGAGGUAACGGCUCACCAAGGCGACGAUGCGUAGCCGACCUGAGAGGGUGAUCGGCCACACUGGGACUGAGACACGGCCCAGACUCCUACGGGAGGCAGCAGUAGGGAAUCUUCCGCAAUGGACGAAAGUCUGACGGAGCAACGCCGCGUGAGUGAUGAAGGUUUUCGGAUCGUAAAGCUCUGUUGUUAGGGAAGAACAAGUACCUGUUAAAUAAGCAGGUACCUUGACGGUACCUAACCAGAAAGCCACGGCUAACUACGUGCCAGCAGCCGCGGUAAUACGUAGGUGGCAAGCGUUGUCCGGAAUUAUUGGGCGUAAAGCGCGCGCAGGCGGUUCCUUAAGUCUGAUGUGAAAGCCCACGGCUCAACCGUGGAGGGUCAUUGGAAACCUGGGGAACUUGAGGUGCAGAAGAGAGAGCGUUA
rnacentral:rRNA from 1 species